rnacentral:rRNA from 1 species
UACAGAGGUCUCAAGCGUUGUUCGGAUUCAUUGGGCGUAAAGGGUGCGUAGGUGGCGCGGUAAGUCGGGUGUGAAAUUUCGGAGCUUAACUCCGAAACUGCAUUCGAUACUGCCGUGCUUGAGGACUGGAGAGGAGACUGGAAUUUACGGUGUAGCAGUGAAAUGCGUAGAGAUUUGGAGGAACACCAGUGGCGAAGGCGACUUUCUGGUCUGUAACUGACACUGAGGCGCGAAAGCGUGGGGAGCGAACAGG